AGAGAGAGACAUGCGCGCAUAUCAAUAAGCGGAGGAAAAGAAACUAACUAGGAUUCCCUCAGUAACGGCGAGUGAAGCGGGAAGAGCUCAAAUUUGAAAUCUUCAAGGUUCUACCUUGACGAAUUGUAGUUUAAAGAAGUGUUUUCUGUUGGAGUUUUGGUAAAAGUUCUUUGGAAUAGGACAUCAUAGAGGGUGAGAAUCCCGUAUUUGACCAUUAUUUCCAGCUUUGUGAUACACUUUCAAAGAGUCGGAUUGUUUGGGAAUGCAGUCCAAAAUGGGUGGUAAAUUUCAUCUAAAGCUAAAUAUUGGCGAGAGACCGAUAGCGAACAAGUACCGUGAGGGAAAGAUGAAAAGAACUUUGAAAAGAGAGUUAAACAGUACGUGAAAUUGUCAAAAGGGAAGCGUUUGACACCAGUGUUGUUUUCUCGAAAAUCAAUUAAAAAAGGCAGGAUUUUGUGUUGUAUUGACUUUAUCAGCUUUCUGCACUCUUUUCUUGUCUUUUUUAAUGCACUUUUCGUUUAACAAGUCAACAUCAAUUUCUUUUGUUGUAAAAGGGUCAUUGGAAGGUGGCUUUCUUUUCGGAGAAAGUGUUUAUAGCCUUUGGCCUCUGCAAUCGGAGAGAUUGAGGUCUGCAGCGUAGAUCCUUCGGGGUUAGGAUACAUUUGUGCUAAGUUAUAGCCUUUCAUAGACAACUUGUUGACUAUGAUCAGUCAUGUAGCUUACUCGCUUAUGCUAUUUUACCUACGCUUAGGAUGUUGAUGUGAUACUGCGAGC
rnacentral:rRNA from 1 species